rnacentral:pre_miRNA from 7 species
CAACUAUUCUCCUGAGAGUGGGAAAUAUAGUCUUCCUCAGGGAAGAAUACACUGAAAGACCCCCCGAAGGGAGACCCUCACUCAAGCCUCGGGAUGUGGCGUGGACCCAAGAGAGACGCGGAGACCG